rnacentral:rRNA from 1 species
CGCAGCUGAUGCAGCAACGCCGCGUGAGUGGAUGACGGCCUUCGGGUUGUAAAGCUCUUUUGUUAGGGAAGAACCGGUUGUGACGGUUCCUGUGGAAUAAUGACCGGACCUCUACAUGAAGCCCCCGCCAACUAUAUGCCAGGCGCCGCCGUUAUCCGUAAGUGGCGAGCGUUAAUCGGAAUUACUGGGCUUGUAGCGUGUGCCGGGGGUUUCCUAAGUUUGACUUGAAAUCCCCGGUGUGUACCGGGGAACUACAGUGAAGUCUGGGAGACUGGAAUUCCUGGUGUGGGGGUGAAAUGCGCAGAUAUCAGGAGGAACGCCUAUAGAUGAGGAAGAA